rnacentral:rRNA from 1 species
UACGUAGGUGGCAAGCGUUGUCCGGAUUUACUGGGCGUAAAGAGCGCGCAGGCGGUCGUUCAAGUCGCGUGUGAAAGCCCCCGGCUCAACUGGGGAGGGUCACGCGAUACUGAUCGACUGGAAGGCAGGAGAGGGUAGUGGAAUUCCCGGUGUAGUGGUGAAAUUCGUAGAUAUGGGGGAGGAACACCGGUGGCGAAGGCGGCCAUCUGGACGGCUAUUGACGCUGAGACGCGAAAGCGUGGGGAGCAAACAGG